GACAGAGGGGGCAAGCGUUGCUCGGAAUCACUGGGCGUAAAGGGCGCGUAGGCGGGAUGGCAAGUCAGUCGUGAAAUCUCUCGGCUCAACCGAGAAACGUCGGCUGAUACUGCCGUUCUUGAGGGAUGCAGAGGAGACUGGAAUUCCCGGUGUAGCGGUGAAAUGUGUAGAGAUCGGGAGGAACACCGGUGGCGAAGGCGGGUCUCUGGGCAUGUCCUGACGCUGAGGAGCGAAAGUGUGGGGAGCGAACAGG
rnacentral:rRNA from 1 species